CUCUCCAGCUCCCCCAGACCUCCCAUCCUCUCAGUCACGAGGCCAGACAAGUAUAAAACUGGCUCCUGCCACAUGGAAGGAAACUUGCUCUCCCCAGGAAGGGUCUGGAAGGGUCAUUUAGAGCCUUUAGCUCCAACAACAAGCUGACUUAGCAAAAGGAAGCAAUGCCAACAUUGAAACUAACCACCCAGAAAGAUGAACGAGUAUCAACCAAAAACACAUUAGCAAAAAUUUCAGGAACAGGCAUUAAAAAGGAGAAGAGCCAAAGACUACAAGGAACAGAGUUUCAGUUGGAGAAGAUGAGAAAGUUCUGGAGAAGGAUGGUGGGGAUGGCUGCACAACAGUGUGAAUGUACUUAAUGCCACAGAACUAUACGUGAAAUGGUUAAAAUGGAAAAUUUUAUGUUAUGAAAAAAAUUUUUGAAAUAAAAAAUAACAAUAAAAAAUAAAGCAUCCAUGAAUAUUCUUACUAAAAAAAACAAGGCCAUAACUAGUGGUCCAUAACUAGUUGGAGAUCUAUCAUCAAAAAAUCUUUUUU